GCCUGGCUGGCUCAGUCAAAGAGCAUCAGACUCUUGAUCUUGGGGUCGUGAGUUCAAGCCCCACACUGGGUG
rnacentral:tRNA from 1 species